ensembl:lncRNA
CCUCCCGCCUGCCUCACCGCCUUAGCAUUCACCUACGCUGGUCAUGGCGUCUCCACAGGACCAAGGGGCUCCCCUCCCAUUGAUGCCAGAUAAGAUGCAAAACUUAGGCAAUUUGAAUAUAGUAGUAGAAACUGUCCAAACUGGAGUACAGAAGGUAAAGGAACAAAAAAUGAACAGAAUUUCAAGCUGUGGGGUUGGCCCAAAUUCUUGGGUUAAAAACUCUUUCUGCCUCAGCCCCAUGAGUAGCUGGUACUACAGGCCUGGCACCAUCACACCCAGCCCUUGUCUAUGGAAUAUGAAAAUGAUAAAUCCAAUAACAGAUAGUGGCUUGCUGGAUCCCUUGUCCAGUUUUGUCCUUGCCAGCUCAAAAGGCCCGCCUGGGCAAUUCAGCAAGAGCCUGGGUGAAGACAGGCAAAUGACAAAAGAAAGAAGACAAAAAACAAAGAAAGAAAGGAAAGGAAGGAAGGAAGGAAGGAAGAAAGGAAGAAAGAAAGAAAGAAAGAAAGAAAGAAAGAAAGAAAGAAAGAAAGAAGAGAAAAGAAAAGAAAGCCAGCCCCAAACAUAGCAGCCUCGGCUACAAUGUUAAACCUGUAAAUGUUAAGGUUUUGAGGAACAAAGAGGAGAAUCUUUUCAAAGGUUUUAUAUCUUGUGCUACUGGCUGUACAACACAAAUUGAUGUAAAAUGUUACAUGCUUCACUUUGUAGAAUACAAGAUGGCUCAUUCUGAUAAAGCUGGUGAGAAACAAAACAAAACAACAGUGUUAGUGGCUCAGAGGGCUCUGGUGCUUUGUGCCGCCUAUGGGAGGAUUACAAUUUGAACUGAGAACUUGAAACAACAAACCUCCGUUAGUAAUGAUUUCCAUGUAUUGCUGCCCCAUGCAAAAGAGAAACAAAAGGAAGAGUAGAAGUCUCUGCAUCACAAUCCACUGUUAAAAUCUUCAAAAAAGCUUUGCUAAUGUGUUCUUGUUACCCUGAAAUGUCUGGUCUCAGUGGCUUUACAGACUUAAAUGUUUAUUUUGAGUGGGUAUGUUUGGACUUUCCGACUGACAAGAUCAACAGGACUUUUAGGAAAACCUGGUCUGUUUUUUGUGCCCCAAACAGCUGUCUGGCCCUCCUUAUGUGUCUUGUCUGCUUUGCUGCCAUGGGAAUUAAGCCACUGCAUUUUUAAAGUCUUGGAUUGACAGACCAAAGUUCCUGGCCUUGACGCAGCUGAAACCCGAUAGUGUGUUCCAUGCUGUUUCUGCCCCUAUGCAGCAGGAUAGAAAUGAAAGGUCACGUCAACAACAGCACUCAGUCUGACACAGACUCUGUGGGGCCAUAAAUGACAAAAAUAUAGAUGCUGAUGGAACUGUCUGGGUCACAGACAAAUGCUGACAGGAAAGGGCAUAUUCCCAGAACACCAUAUGAAAUUGCAGCAAUGAAUGACUCUAUAGAAUCUGUUAAAAGAUAAACUACAUUCAUUCCUAACCCGUGAUUCCUUCCUUGGGGGAGGACACAUCACAUGAAAUGUGAUCCUGGUACUCAUUGCCCACAUAUCAGACUUGGGAUCCCCCUUGGAGAUGCCUCUUCGAUGUUAACUUGCAGUUACAGCUCACACUAAGGGACUGAUAGCCUUUCCGUUGCCUCUUUCCUGGGAUACACACCUUCCUAAGGUAUGAUUAGUCAUAGCAAGGAGCUGUAUUGUUUUUUUUUUAUUCUUCUUCAUGGGCAAAUGACCAGGACAAAAUGAAUGGGAAGUUAAAGAAACCUAUUGUAAAACAAUCCAGGACCCUUCCUGAGCAAUUCUUGAACAUUAAUGUGUCUUUCCCAUUAAAUUGCAUAAGGUCAUUUUUCCAGUAAAAGUUAAAUGAUUGGGAAAUUUGAAGUUAGAAUUACAGAGAAGCUGACUGCUUUUGUAACAAUGGAGUGAAACAGGAAAUCCUGGGAGGCUCGGCAGAGGAGAGAGCCAAUGCUAAGCUUCAUUUUUUCCAGGCCUCCUCGAAAUUCUCCCUUCUUUCUGUAGAAGAAUGCCUUGUUUCCAACCUGCUGUUGAGCAGUCUAUACUAGAUGGCAGCUGACAAGCCUCCCAUCACUCACGGCUGGCAGCACACCAAUGAGGCAGGAGUGAUGCUUACUCCCACUCUUAGCACACAAUUGAUGCCACCCACACGCAUGGGAAGGUGGGACCAACGAGAUGAAUAAGCCAAAUGGAUGGAACUUGCCUAUCUUCAGACACUUCCUCUGAAGCCAAUAAUUAAACUACAUUAUAUGGACUGAAGUGGGUGGCAGGCUCCUCUGGAAACUAAUAAUCCAUAAAACCUAACCAGUGUACAUUGUGCUUUGUGUACUCUAGAAUUCUGCUUGCAUGUGCCUAUGCUGCUCUUACCUUGGCACUAGAGAGAAUCCAAAUGGAGUUCAACUUACUGAUCAGAAUUUUGCUGAGCCUGUACCGAUGCUUUGGCCAGGCCAAAAAUAAAAAAUAAAAAAGAAGAAAGAAAGAAAUUUAAGAAGGUUAAGAAGGAAGCCACUGACUUUCUAAGGCAGAGUUUUGAAGUUAAUGACAUAUGUUUCAAGUGGUUAACUCCAGGUUCCCUGGAGGUUAUAAGUUGUUAAAAACAUUAGCUUAGGGGUUGGGGAUUUAGCUCAGUGGUAGAGUGCUUGCCUAGCAACCGCAAGUCCCUGGGUUCAGUCCCCAGCUCUGAAAAAAAAAAAAAGAAAAGAAAAGAAAAAGAAAAAAAAAAGAAAAAAAUUAGCUUAGGGUCACAAAGAAAGAGACCAUUAUUCCAACUGAAGUGCUUGGAACAACUUUAUUCUUGGUUCAAGAGGUUGUGCUACAGACACGGAGGCCUGAAAUGCUCUUGGUUUAUAUUCUAACUCAGGUGGUGGUUGUGUCUUCCCCCCAUUGGCUGGGGUCUGAUUUCACAAUCUUACUCAUUUGGGUAGUCUGAAAAGAACUGGCACCCAGGAAAUGGAGGAAUGAGAAAUGGGUUAUUGCUACAAGAAGAAAAAGGUCACUUGACAGACCAUUAACUUCAUAGAGUAGAGAACAAAAAACAAAGGUUUUACUGGGGGCGGAGGGGGGUGAGGGCUCAAAACGUUUGCAUAAAAGUGUGGUGGUGGGAGAGAAAAAGAUUUUAAUUCCUUGUCCCAAACAUAAGUUGUUGUGGUUUUUGUUUGGUUUUGUUUUUAGUAUUGGAUAGAAAAGACUCAUAUUUGGUAUUUCUUUCAAAGUGAAGUCACUCCUGUAGUAUGGCCUCAUCCUGUUGCUGGGCUCCAACGAAUAAUUGUGCAAUAAAGAUGCCUUGGUCACCUACCUGGACACAGAAGGUACUCCUGUAGUCCCAGCUCCUAGGGAGAAAAACUAUUAGUUUCCUCUUUUCUGAGGAAAUAGGAGCUCUUCUGGAUUUCAGAGUCAACACAGCCUGCACAGACUGAAGUGUGUGUGUCAAAAAAUGCCUUGUCUGUUAGCCAAGGGACAGACUGGUUGCCCAGCAGUGCAAUCCUUUGAAAGGGUAGCAUUUAGCUGUCUUCCAGAAAUGUUUCCUGUGUCUCUUUUCUGCUAAGGAUGGUACACUAUAUCUAAACUACACAAAUGGUAGGUUAUGCUGUCCAUGUGCAUGUGUGUUUGAUCAUCUAGAAUUUUAGUAAACACAAAACAAAGGGAGAAAACCCUUGGCUCCAAAUCUCUGAUGGGCUUCUCUGGGCAUGUGGCAUGCACUGCUGCAAUGUUAUUGCUUAUGAGACCUCCCCAUCCUUCAGACUCUCUCUCCAGAGUUUCCAACACACUGAGAUAAAGUAUAUGAGAUAUUUCAGUCUUAUUAUCCUCUACAUCAUUGCAUCAUUGAACACAUAUGUACACACACACACACACACACACACACACACACACACACACACACACACCUACACACCACAUUGGUAUGGAAUAAAGGAACCACAGAACCACAGAUAAAAUUUAUAGUAAACAAAAAAGUAGUGCAGAUAAGGACAGUUGCUACCAAGCCAGAUGACUUGAGUAGGAGAAAAUAAACCUGGAAAGUUGUCUCCUAACCAAUUUGUUAUGGCACAGCACGCAUGUAUGUGCACACAGACACACAAAAUAUAAUUGAAAAAUUAAACACAAAUAAAGAAAUGUUCUGAAAUAUUUUCUUGUUUUUUUCCAUUAUAGUAUAUAAUAGUUAUCAUCAAUGACCUAUUGUUGUACACUUUCUCAUUGUACUGUGCUCAUUGUAAAAGACAUUGCCCAAUGUUUCCCUUUUUUAUACUUAUCUUUAAGACAGAAGAAGAGAAAAUGAAGCAACUUCUUUCUCUGCUCAUGCUUAGAGAAGAAAAACUGGAAUUGAAACUGUCAUCACUUUACCCAGAAUUGCAUUGGCAUUUUUAUUUUUAAUAUCAUUGUGACAAAAAUCUGCCAUUGUUUUGAGUAGAGUUUGUAUACUGCAUUGUUUUAGCAUAGUGCUCUAUGUUGGAUGUGCCCAAAGUAUGUUUUCCAGUUAAAUCUUACAACAUUUAAACAUGUUUUGUGGCAAGUUGAGCACAAGGUAAAAUGUGUCGCCUUAAUAUUUUUCCAUGUUUAAGUGUUGAUUUUGCUGUGUUUUUCAUUUUUGCUAACCUUAAAUCCUUUGUCCAUUAAAUAGCAACUACCCAUUCUGUCUUUGCUCGAGCUCCUGGCAAUCACUAGUCUUUGUUCUGUCUUUUAGAAAUUUUAU